rnacentral:rRNA from 1 species
AUUGAACGCUGGCGGCAUGAUUUACACAUGCAAGUCGAACGGUAACAGGCCGCAAGGUGCUGACGAGUGGCGAACGGGUGAGUAAUGCAUCGGAACGUGCCCAGUCGUGGGGGAUAACUACUCGACAGAGUAGCUAAUACCGCAUACGAUCUAUGGAUGAAAGCGGGGGACCGUAAGGCCUCGCGCGAUUGGAGCGGCCGAUGUCAGAUUAGGUAGUUGGUGGGGUAAAGGCUCACCAAGCCAACGAUCUGUAGCUGGUCUGAGAGGACGACCAGCCACACUGGGACUGAGACACGGCCCAGACUCCUACGGGAGGCAGCAGUGGGGAAUUUUGGACAAUGGGCGCAAGCCUGAUCCAGCAAUGCCGCGUGCAGGAAGAAGGCCUUCGGGUUGUAAACUGCUUUUGUACGGAACGAAACGGCUCUGGUUAAUACCCGGGGCUAAUGACGGUACCGUAAGAAUAAGCACCGGCUAACUACGUG